rnacentral:rRNA from 1 species
UUGGGCGUAAGGGCGCGUAGGUGGCCCGGUGAGUCUUUGGUGAAAGCGCGGGGCUCAACCCUGCGUCGGCCAGGGAUACUGCCGCGGCUCGAGCACUGUAGAGGCAGGCGGAAUUCCGGGUGUAGCGGUGGAAUGCGUAGAGAUCCGGAAGAACACCGGUGGCGAAGGCGGCCUGCUGGGCAGGAGGGGCAACCCUUUCAAGCUGACACUGAGGCGCGACAGCGUGGGGAGCAAACAGGAUUAGAUACCCUGGUAGUCCACGCCGUAAACGAUGGGCACUAGGCGCUUGGGGGAGCGACCCCUCGAGGGCCGGCGCUAACGCAUUAAGUGCCCCGCCUGGGGAGUACGGCCGCAAGGCUGAAACUCAAAGGAAUUGACGGGGGCCCGCACAAGCGGUGGAGCAUGUGGUUUAAUUA